UAAUACUCCCGAGGAAAGACAUCACUCGCAGAAGAAGCACCGGCUAACUCCGUGCCAGCAGCCGCGGUAAUACGGAGGGUGCAAGCGUUAAUCGGAAUUACUGGGCGUAAAGCGCGCGUAGGUGGCUAAGUCAGCCAGGUGUGAAAGCCCCGGGCUCAACCUGGGAACGGCAUCUGGAACUGCUUGGCUAGAGUGCAGGAGAGGAAGGUAGAAUUCCCGGUGUAGCGGUGAAAUGCGUAGAGAUCGGGAGGAAUACCAGUGGCGAAGGCGGCCUUCUGGACUGACACUGACACUGAGGUGCGAAAGCGUGGGUAGCAAACAGGAUUAGAUACCCUGGUAGUCCACGCCGUAAACGAUGUCAACUAGCCGUUGGGUCCCUUGAGGACUUAGUGGCGCAGCUAACGCAAUAAGUUGACCGCCUGGGGAGUACGGCCGCAAGGUUAAAACUCAAAUGAAUUGACGGGGGCCCGCACAAGCGGUGGAGCAUGUGGUUUAAUUCGAUGCAACGCGAAGAACCUUACCUACCCUUGACAUCCAGAGGACUUUCCAGAGAUGGAUUGGUGCCUUCGGGAACUCUGAGACAGGUGCUGCAUGGCUGUCGUCAGCUCGUGUUGUGAAAUGUUGGGUUAAGUCCCGUAACGAGCGCAACCCCUAUCCUUAUUUGCCAGCGAGUAAUGUCGGGAACUCUAAGGAGACUGCCGGUGACAAACCGGAGGAAGGUGGGGACGACGUCAAGUCAUCAUGGCCCUUACGGGUAGGGCUACACACGUGCUACAAUGGCAAGUACAAAGGGUUGCAAUACUGCGAAGUGGAGCCAAUCCCAUAAAGCUUGCCUCAGUCCGGAUUGGAGUCUGCAACUCGACUCCAUGAAGUCGGAAUCGCUAGUAAUCGUGGAUCAGAAUGCCACGGUGAAUACGUUCCCGGGCCUUGUACACACCGCCCGUCACACCAUGGGAGUGGACUGCACCAGAAGUGGUUAGCCUAACCUUCGGGAGGGCGAUCACCACGGUGUGGUUCAUGACUGGGGUGAAGUCGUAACAAGGUAGCCCUAGGGGAACCUGGGGCUGGAUCACCUCCUUA
rnacentral:rRNA from 1 species